rnacentral:rRNA from 1 species
GUUAAGUGGAAAACGAUGUGAAGAUACGUAGACAACCAGGAUGUUGGCUCAGAAGCAGCCACACAUUCAAAGAGUGCGUAAUAGCUCACUGGUCGAGCGUCUUUGCGCGGAGAAUUUAACGGGGCUAAACCUGACACCGAAGCUUAGGCAAUGUACUUUGUACAUUGGGUAGGGGAGCGUUGUAUACGCGGUGAAACAGUAGCGCAAGCGGCUGUGGAGUGUAUAGAAGUGAGAAUGCCGGAAUGAGUAGCGCGAAUGCAGUGAGAAUCUGCAUGGCCGAAAGCCUCAGGUUUCUGGAGGAAGGUUCGUCCGCUCCAGGUUAGUCGGGAGCUAAGGUGAGGCCUAACGGCGUAGCCGAUGCACAGACGGUAGAGAUUCCGUCACCACCAAAAGAGUUAAACACAGGGACACAUUUGAAGUCUCGGAGCCGGGUGUUGGUUCCGGUAGCGAUCGAGGGAAGUUAGUACCGAAGUCCGGGAUGGAAGAUGGCGAGAAAAGCUGUGUGUAUUUCUGCGGUGCCCGUACCGCAAACCGACACAGGUAGGUAGGAAGAAGAUUCUAAGGCCAACGGGAGAAGGGUUGUUAAGGAACUCGGCAAAUUGACCCCGUAACUUCGGGAGAAGGGGUGCUCCAGAGAUGGAGCCGCAGAGAAUCGGCCCAAGCAACUGUUUACCAAAAACACAGGUUUGUGCUAAAUCGAAAGAUGACGUAUACGAGCUGACGCCUGCCCGGUGCUGGAAGGUUAAGAGGAGAUGUGCAAGCAUUGAAUCGAAGCCCCAGUGAACGGCGGCCGUAACUAUAACGGUCCUAAGGUAGCGAAAUUCCUUGUCAGGUAAGUUCUGACCCGCAUGAAAGGCGUAAUGAUUUGGGCACUGUCUCGACAGCCCGCCCGGCGAAAUUGUAGUACCGGUGAAGAUGCCGGUUACCCGCGACAAGACGGAAAGACCCCAUGGAGCUUUACUGUAGCCUAAUAUUGGGUUUCGAUGUUGCAUGCACAGGAUAGAUGGGACACAGGGAAGCAAGUGCUUUGGCAUUUGUGGAGUGGCCGUUGGGAUACCAUCCUUGCGAUAUUGGAAUUCUAACCUGCGCCUUUGAAUCAAGGCGGGGGACAUUGUUAGGUGGGCAGUUUGACUGGGGCGGUCGCCUAAAGAGUAACGGAGGCGUUCAAAGGUUCGCUCAGCUUGAACGGAAAUCAAGCAAAAGAGUGCAAACGCAGAAGCGAGCCUAACUGCGAGACUGACGGGUCGAGCAGUAACGAAAGUUGGAGUUAGUGAUCCGGUGGUAUGUGAGUGGAAAUGCCAUCGCUCAACGGAUAAAAGUUACCCUGGGGAUAACAGGCUGAUCUCCCCCAAGAGUCCACAUCGACGGGGAGGUUUGGCACCUCGAUGUAGGCUCAUCGCAUCCUGGGGCUGUAUUCGGUCCCAAGGGCUUG